UACAGAGGGUGCAAGCGUUGUUCGGAAUCAUUGGGCGUAAAGCGCGUGUAGGCGGCCACCUAAGUUUGGUGUGAAAGCCCAGGGCUUAACCCUGGAAGUGCACUGAAUACUGGGUGGCUAGAGGACGAGAGAGGACAAUGGAAUUCAUGGUGUAGGGGUGAAAUCCGUAGAUAUCAUGAGGAACAUCUGUGGCGAAGGCGAUUGUCUGGCUCGUUUCUGACGCUGAGACGCGAAAGCGUGGGGAGCAAACAGG
rnacentral:rRNA from 1 species